UAAUACGGGGGGUGCGAGCGUUGUCCGGAAUCACUGGGCGUAAAGGGCGCGUAGGUGGUUUGAUAAGGGCGUGGUGAAAGUCCGGGGCUCAACCCCGGAUCUGCCGUGCCGACUGUCAAACUCGAGGACUGUAGAGGCAGACGGAAUUCCGGGUGUAGCGGUGGAAUGCGUAGAGAUCCGGAGGAAGACCGGUGGCGAAGGCGGUCUGCUGGGCAGUUUCUGACACUGAGGCGCGACAGCGUGGGGAGCAAACAGGAUUAGAUACCCUGGUAGUCCACGCCGUAAACGAUGGGUACUAGGUGCCUGGGGGAGCGACCCUCUGGGUGCCGGCGCUAACGCAGGAAGUACCCCGCCUGGGGAGUACGACCGCAAGGUUG
rnacentral:rRNA from 1 species